GAGGCCGAUCAGAUACCCCCCUAGUUCUGACCGUAAACAAUGCCACCUGACGAUCCGCCAGGGUUACUAUCAUGACUCGGCGGGCAGUUCCCGGGAAACCCAAGCUUUCGGGUUCCAGGAGAAGUAUGGUUGCAAAGCUGAAACUUAAAGGAAUUGACGGAAGGGCACCACUAGGAGUGGAGCCUAUGGCUUAAUUUGACUCAACACGGGGAACCUCACCCGGCCCAAACACCGCAGGGAUUGACAGAUUAAGAACUCUUUCUCGAUUCGGUGGGUGGUGGUGCAUGGCCGUUCUUAGUUGGUGGAGCGAUUUGUCUGGUUAAUUCCGAAACGAACGAAACUCUAGCCGUAAUAGCCCGGCGCUUUUUGAUCUUUCCGUCCUCCUCGUCCCGACCUUCCGCGCUU
rnacentral:rRNA from 1 species